rnacentral:rRNA from 1 species
UACGUAGGUGGCAAGCGUUGUCCGGAUUGACUGGGCGUAAAGCGCACGUAGGCGGGCCUUUAAGUCAGGGGUGAAAUCCUGGAGCUCAACUCCAGAACUGCCUUUGAUACUGAGGAUCUCGAGUCCGGGAGAGGUGAGUGGAACUCCGAGUGUAGAGGUGAAAUUCGUAGAUAUUCGGAAGAACACCAGUGGCGAAGGCGGCUCACUGGCCCGGUACUGACGCUGAGGUGCGAAAGCGUGGGGAGCAAACAGG